GACUUGCGAGGAUGAACACGGUUUUUAACCCUCCUAUACUUUGUUGUUCUUUUCUGCAGGGAUGAAAUGUAUUUUCCAUUAAGGGAACCUAUUUGUGUGCAUCGUGGCUCUACCCUAGAAGUACAUUUCUGGCGCUGUUGUGAUUCUACAAAGUCUGCAAACAAGUAGUCAUAGCAUCCUCAGUCCUCACAGCUGACAAUAAAUUGAUUUUUGGAACUAGUAUCGGUAUCAAUUCAAUUUGGGAAAUCAUGUAUCUGCUUUUCAGAACUAGCAUAGCAUCUGAGUUAGUUCUCUUAUUGUCAGUACAUUUUAUAAAAUCAUGCCGCAUUAUAAGAUUGUCGAGAUGAUCAUUCUAUGUACGCUGUGUAAAGUUGUAAAUAAAUAUGGAUUUUUCUAGGAAAGUUUGGUGAGUUUUCUUUUA